ACUAUUUUGGCAGAAAAGUGUAAUAGAUUUAGAAUCUAUAAAUGUAAUUUAAAUUACAAAUAGUA
rnacentral:tRNA from 1 species